rnacentral:rRNA from 1 species
GGUUAAGCGACUAAGCGUACACGGUGGAUGCCCUGGCAGUCAGAGGCGAUGAAGGACGUGCUAAUCUGCGAUAAGCGUCGGUAAGGUGAUAUGAACCGUUAUAACC